ACUCUUUUAGUAUAAAUAGUACAAUUGACUUCCAAUCAAUAAGUCUUAAUAAAUAUGAGAGAGAGUA
rnacentral:tRNA from 1 species